rnacentral:ncRNA from 1 species
UGUUCUCAGGGCAGGGUGAAAUUCCCGACCGGCGGUAACUGUCCGAAAGCCAAAAGCUAACGACAGAAGCCCGCGAGCGCCCUUGGUGAUCAGAAGAUCCUCGAUUAAAGGUUCUUCGGAUUAUUAAGGGGUCAGCAGAUCUGGUGUAAUUCCAGAGCCGACGGUAACAGUCCGGAUGGGAGAGGAUA